rnacentral:lncRNA from 1 species
CUCAGUGGUCACACAGGAAUCUGUGAGGGAUGUGUGUACCACGGGUGGGGAUCUCUGGGAGCCAUGGUGAAGGCUGCCCACCUCACAGAUCAAGAUGAGGCUCUUGGGUCUCUUUCUAAACAGAAGAGGAAACAAUGGAGAGGUUUGAAUCCAGAGGAUGACAGUGUCUGGAUUUCAUUCAUCAACCCUCUCCUUGUGCUGACAUUGAAAUGAGGCCAAGAGAGGAAGUGCCUGUUGCAAUAGCGCAUUGCUGAACCCAGGCCUGGUUUGAGUGGUGUUCAUGCUACAUCCCUUCUCGUAAUUCUUCCAUCUCUUUGUUUGUGCAUUACUUGCACUUGACACCACCUCACAGGUGGUAUGGAUAUUAUUUCAUAUACACCUGAUGAUGUCCCUAGCAAGUAGAUUCUAGGCGGAUUCCCCUUGGGCAGGUUUGGAGACUGGGGAGGCCCUGAGAGGCACAAUGAGUUUUCCAGGACAGAGAACUGGUAAGAUAAAGGAGGUCUGAAUUCUGCUCCGCCUCCUCAAAGCUGGGACCCUCAUCACAUUCCCAGGGAGCUGUGGCUGGGGCUGUGGAAGCUCCUCUGUAGAGUUAAGAAGAAGACAUGGGGGUGGUUUGGGUAGGUCCGAUUACAGGAAGCAGCCCAGGUAAUGGAAUCUUGAAAAAGUGACCUCACUUCCUUGGCGAUAGACCCCAACAGACUUAGAACUCUGGUAACCAGGCAGUUAAUUCUAGAGACAGACCCCUAGCCAGUUCAUUUGACUGGAGACACUUCAGAGAAGAACAUGUUUCCUUGUUGUAUCCCAGUUUUCAGAGGCUCUAGGCUCAGGAAAGCCCAGAGUGUGAGACUGUUGUGUUGUUGUGGACAUCGGAUCAAGCCUCAUGGCCAAUUUGGCAGGAGGUACCCAAAGAACUCCACUCAGGAUAUCUUUGAAGAGUUAUGCGAUGGGUUCGACUUCUCUCCCUCCCUAGUCAAGGGGCAGGAGCAGCAGGCUGCCAGCAGCAUCCUGUGCCGGUCUGAGGUGAGAGCAGGAGCAGAAGGUCUUUACCCCCACCCCCCCAAGAUGUUCAGGGUGGGCCUGGAACCCAGGUCCCAAUCUGAGCACACCCCUGGGGCACUCACAGGGCUUUCCCACUGGGUGUCCUACGGCCUUGCUCCUGAAGGAGUCUGGGCCUCCUCUCCUCCCCAGCCAGCUGUGGGGUAGGGUGGAAAGACACUCUCCACAUGUUUCUUGGAAUCAUAGAGGAAAGGUUUACUGUUGUUAUCACUUUUCACAAGGCCAUGAGGACCUUAGCAUUUUGCUCCUGUUUUGAUCAAUGUAACUACCCGGCUGGGGAGCUGUAUAGCACUCAGGCCACUGUCCUUGCAGACCUGCUCCAAGCCUCACGAAUCAUCACACUUGCUGGGCUGAUUUACACACAAAGAGCAUUCCAGUGGGAUGAGAGGAUUCUAUACAUUUCUCUCCAACUUGUCAUUGCACAGAACACGGCAACUCAUUGUAGGCCGGUCAGGU